UUCAUGAUAGCAGCUGACGAGGAUCAACAGAAGAGCCUAUCGCCUGCUUGCCAGCACAAUAUGAGAACACCGGUCACGUCCCCUUUCGAAGAGAACAUACAGGAAGAAGACAGACCAAUGGAAGCUGUGUCUCGGGGGUGAUACAGCAUCCCCUGAAGGCAAUAGACCUUAAAGGGGCGUGCCAGGGUGUUCAGCAUUCCACCAAGAACCCUAUGGCACCACAGAGGAAAGGAGAUGAAAAACCCAGGCUUCAGCCAAAUGGGUGGGGCGUCAGUCUUCUCUUUCGCGUCUGAAAGUGACCUCGUCAAUCGCAUCAUGGGACGUGAGAAGACUCGCCUUUGAUCUGACAGAGAGGAUGGGAAUCAAGCACAGGUUCAUCAAAGGAAAGGGGUAUGCAUGGGUGGAUUGGUUCAGUUGCUUAAUGAAGCGCAACCCUCAACUGUCAGUUUGAGUAUCGCAAGCAACCAGUCUUGCGAGGGCCGUGGGCUUUAAUAAGCUUAAGGUUGACCAGUUUUUUUUUUACGGCCUACAAGGACGUUUUAAACAGCAUCAGGGACAUCGGGAAAACAAAGAUUUGGAACAUGGACAAAAGUCCAGAAACUGUUGCCUGUGGUGGCCACCAAGGGAAUGAAACAUGUUGCAUGGUUGACCAGCGCAGAGUGGCUUCACAGUCACAGUAAUUUGUGCUAUCAGUGUAGCGAGGCAGUACGUACUGCCCCUCUUCAUCUUCCCUUGGAAGAGGAUGAACGAACAGCUGCUGGUUGGAGCACCUGCACGGUCCGUUGGAAGGGUGAGUGACUCAGGCUGAGUCGACAGUACCAUCUUUGUCGACUGGCUCCACAACUUCAUCCACUGUGUUGGUUGCACUCCUGAGGAACCCCACAUCUUCAUCCUCGAUGGGCACCACUCCCAUAAGACCCUGGAGGCUGUUCUGACAGCAAGAGGCCAGGGUCUGAUUCUCAUCACUCUGCCACCCCACUGCAGCCACAAAAUGCAGCCGUUAGACCGUACCGUUUUCAAAGGUCUGAUGGCCUUUUACAACAGGGCAGCAGAUCAGUGGAUGACGAUGCGUCCUGGGAAAAGGAUAUGUAUAUACCAAAUGGCUAGACAAGGUGGCCAGUGUGGAGAGAGGAGUGGAGGGCUUCUGGGCCAGUGGGCUGUGGCCUUUGGAGAAGGACCUCUUCACAGAGGCAGACUUCAUGGUCACUGAGGUUAUAGAGGAGCCUGAGCCCAUUGCCAGUAAGAUAAAGUUAUCUAAAUUAACGAAAAGUAGCAGAAGAAGUAUCUACUUGGUAGAAAGUGUUUAUUAUACUUACACCAAUGUAUUGUUAUGGUCAUUUAUUUUCAAUGCAAAGAAUCCAUUCAACCACAGUGCUCUACCGCUGCCACCGAUGCAGCUACCAGCUCUACCACCGCCACCUCUACCGCCACCAUCACUAGCUCUACCUACACCGCCACCAGCUCUAACACCCAAACCUCUACCUCCACCACAUAUACCUCCGCCACAACCUCCACCGUGCAGCCUACCCUUGCUCCAAAUGUUGCUGCAGCAGUUCUAUUGGAGUUGUGGCCGAGGCUCCAGGAGGCGAGGCAGAGGAAGAGGAAGGCAGAGUCUGCAGCUGUACUGACAGCCUCACCUUACAAAAGGUUGCUGGAGGAAAAUGCUCGACAGAAACAUCAACAAGAAGAAAAGAGAGAGGAGUAAGAAAACAAAUCAGGUUCUUCAAAGAAGGUUGGUGCAACACAACAAGCCACAUCAGCCACCAAAGAAGGGGGUGCGGAGGGUCUUUUCUGUGAGGUGCUGGUUCAGUGCCAGAUGGGGACUGGAUUAGGUGUGAGCACUGCAGGAGGUGGGCUCAUGGUUUGUGCAAUAGCAGAGCAAAAGAGAUGCAACAUCAAUGUUACACUGAAUUAGUUAACUUAUGAUUUAUUGUUAUUAAAUGCUAUAUUCCAAUUUUAUUUCAUGUUAUUAGUUAUAUUCCAUUCCAAUAUUAUAUUCCAAGUAAUAUAUUUAUUUUUAAUGAAUUUUAAAAAAGCUAUUGAAAACCUUUUGCUCCUGAAUGUCAAUUUAAAGACUGCAGGGAUUUAAAAUCUUGCAUUAUUCCAAUACUAGUUUGUGAAAUUGUACAUAAUGGAUUGUAAGGAAAAGAAGCAACAAUGAAAGAACAAAGAAAAUGAAUGUGCAGGUGAGUUAAAAAGAGGGACUUUACAUCAAAUCUCCUCAUAGUGCAGAUAUUAAUAGUGACAUGUGCAACACAAUUCACACCAAUAUUGUUUUUUAAUCAUUAAAAUAAGACAGCUGGAUUUAGCUUUUAAGUAUUACUUACUAAAUAAACUGAUUAAAUGGAUUUUAACACACUUGUGUGAAACUAUGCCAUAAUCUUACCCCGGUACUUAAAAUACACCCCUAUCUAAAAACAACAUUUCAUGAAAUAA